UGAUAGAUGCACCCUGAUAACUAGCUCCCCUAGUUCGCUAACACCCACUGAGGAUUUUCUCU
rnacentral:sRNA from 1 species